rnacentral:rRNA from 1 species
CGUAACUAUAACGGUCCUAAGGUAGCGAAAUUCCUUGUCGGGUAAGUUCCGACCUGCACGAAUGGCGUAAUGAUGGCCAGGCUGUCUCCACCCGAGACUCAGUGAAAUUG